AACGAACGCUGGCGGCAUGCCUAACACAUGCAAGUCGAACGAGACCUUCGGGUCUAGUGGCGCACGGGUGCGUAACGCGUGGGAACCUGCCCUUAGGUUCGGAAUAACUCCCCGAAAGGGGUGCUAAUACCGGAUAAUGUCUUCGGACCAAAGAUUUAUCGCCUUUGGAUGGGCCCGCGUUGGAUUAGCUAGUUGGUAGGGUAAAAGCCUACCAAGGCGACGAUCCAUAGCUGGUCUGGGAGGAUGAUCAGCCACACUGGGACUGAGACACGGCCCAGACUCCUACGGAAGGCAGCAGUGGUGAAUAUUGGACGAUGGGCGAAAGACUGAUCCAGCCAGGCCGCGUAAGUGAUUAAGGCCUGAGGGAUGUAAUGCUCUCUUACCCGGGAAGAUAAUGACGGUACCGGAAGAAUAAGCUCCGGCUAACUCCGUG
rnacentral:rRNA from 1 species